rnacentral:rRNA from 1 species
UACGAGGGGGGCAAGCGUUGUUCGGAAUUAUUGGGCGUAAAGAGCUCGUAGGCGGUUCGUCGCGUCGGCUGUGAAAACCUGAGGCUCAACCUCAGGCCUGCAGUCGAUACGGGCGGACUUGAGUACUGCAGGGGAGACUGGAAUUCCUGGUGUAGCGGUGAAAUGCGCAGAUAUCAGGAGGAACACCGGUGGCGAAGGCGGGUCUCUGGGCAGUAACUGACGCUGAGGAGCGAAAGCGUGGGGAGCGAACAGG